UACGUAGGGUGCAAGCGUUGUCCGGAAUUAUUGGGCGUAAAGAGCUCGUAGGCGGUCUGUCGCGUCUGCUGUGAAAACUCAGGGCUUAACCCUGAGCUUGCAGUGGGUACGGGCAGACUAGAGUGCGGUAGGGGAGACUGGAAUUCCUGGUGUAGCGGUGAAAUGCGCAGAUAUCAGGAGGAACACCGGUGGCGAAGGCGGGUCUCUGGGCCGUAACUGACGCUGAGGCGCGAAAGCGUGGGUAGCAAACAGG
rnacentral:rRNA from 1 species